GCACAAGCAGUGGAGCAUGUGGUUAAUUCGAUGCAACGCGAAGAACCUUACCUGGGCUUGACAUCCCGGGAAUCCCCUGGAAACAGGGGAGUGCCCUUCGGGAACCCGGUGACAGGUGCUGCAUGGCUGUCGUCAGCUCGUGUCGUGAGGUGUUGGGUUAAGUCCCGCAACGAGCGCAACCCCUAUCUUUAGUUGCCAUCAUUGAGUUGGGCACUCUAAAGAGACUGCCGGUGUCAAACCGGAGGAAGGUGGGGAUGACGUCAAGUCCUCAUGGCCUUUAUGACCAGGGCUACACACGUACUACAAUGGCCGGUACAAAGGGCAGCGACACAGCGAUGUGAAGCGAAUCCCGAAAAGCCGGUCUCAGUCCGGAUUGGAGUCUGCAACUCGACUCCAUGAAGUUGGAAUCGCUAGUAAUCGCGGAUCAGCACGCCGCGGUGAAUACGUUCCCGGGCCUU
rnacentral:rRNA from 1 species